GCACCUGUGGCGGAACUGGCAGACGCGUAUGGUUCAGGUCCAUAUUUCUUAACGGAAGUGCAGGUUCGAUUCCUGUCAGGUGCACCA
rnacentral:tRNA from 1 species